CACAUGCGUCUUAUCCACUGCUCCAUCUCCACCCCAGUGCUGAGAAUGUAACUGAUUUUUUGCAGACAAAUUGGAAGCAGUCCUUUUUUAUGUCUGAUCCACUGGGUUCCCCCUCUCCACUGUGUGACAGAUCAAGGUAUUCACAGGUGAAAUAACAGCCAGGUGCGCACCUGGCUGCGUAUAUAUGUGGAACACAAUAACCCAGCUGAUUAAAUCCUAAAAGCUUCUGUAAGCGUAUUAGAGCUGCGGUCGGGAUGCAAAUUUAAGUUACCUGAGCCACGAUGAUGCCCAAUACACAGACUGACCCGGCUGUUCGCCACAUUAAACCCUUGCUGUUACUCUUACAAACAGGUACAGAGAUCUAUUUAUUUCACUCUGGUCUGCUGGGAAGUAAUGUUAGCAGUCUGAGCCAUGUCCUUUCUGAUACAAGGCGCCGAACCCCACACGAGGAAAGAUGCUGUCCACGAGAGGGCGCCACCGGCCAGAGAACGAGCUUGACCUGAAACUCGAGCGGUGAUCAGGCCAGAUCCUGCCGCCCAAUCUCUUAAAGCUGGUCAAGAAGGCUUAACAGUGGGCUGUACUUCCUGAGGAGACUGAGGAAGUUCGGUGUGUCACCUCUGGAACUUCUACAGGUGCACUGUUGAGUGCAUUCUGACCAGCUGCAUCACCGUGUGGUGUCGCAGCACUACUGCAAUGGACUGCAAACACCUGCAGAGAGUGGUGAAGACAGCUGAAAAGAUCACCAGGACUCCACCAGCCUCCCUGCAGAGCAUCUACCAUCCAAAGAAUACCAAAGAAUCCACAGAAGAGCUGCCUCCAUUAUCAAGGAUCCUACCCACCCCCAACAUGAACUGUUCACCUCCUCGGGUCGGAGGUAUAGAAGUGUGAAAUGUAGGACGACAUGACUGAAGAACUCAGACUCCUAAACAGUUAAUAGGCAUGUGGACUCCAUGCCCAUCUUUACACUGUAUCAUGACAUGUUAAUUGCACUAUUAUUGCACAUCUGCACAUUGCUACAUGUACAAUUUCCAUUUGCUUUUAUAUCUCUAUUUAUCAUAUUUAUCAUUGUAUUUGUAU